UGGAGGCCAUAUGAGUCAUGCCUGCAUUUUUACAGGGUGGCCUGGUAACUCUUGAUUGGCCACCAUGAAAACAUGGACCUCAGAAGCACAAGAUGGCAGGAGGAAGCCAUGGCUGCUGGCUGGUGCUGUUAUGAGCACCAGCAUUUUGUCAGUUUGGGGACUAGGAGGGUAGUCCCUGCCAUGUCCAACACCUGGUGAGUCUGGCUCCAUAUUAUACACAGAAACUCUGGGCAUUGUCUACGUAUAGCCACAGAGAAACAAGUUGCUUUCUGCAGCACAGCAAGUAAGAUAAGAGGAGGUCGUGGACUGCCUUGGUGUUAUGACAUUCACCCUUUGUUCUACCAGCUAGAUUCCCAGCAUAGGGAUAUUUGCUUUUAAACACUUGCUUGGGUCAGAGUAGCUAAACUCUGCUACAGAGUGAAUGGAGGACUGUGAACUAUUUCUUCUCAGAGCCAGGAGAGGUUGGAUAUGGUGAAAAGGCUUUUGAUCUUUGCAAAGAAAGGAUCCCUUGAGGCUGGAGGCGGGCAGCCUUUAGGUGUCACUCACACUGGAGAAACUUUGAUGGAGCACUGACUGAGUCCCGGGAGAGGCCAUGUGAAUGGAGGCAAGAUGCUCCUGACUCUGGCCAGCUCAGGGAAAAGUCUAUCUGGGGUUUCCAGGAUCAACUGCCACGUGAGUAGUUUACUCAAUGUUCCAGAAGUAAUGAGGACAUGGCGUUAAAGAAGGACAUGAAGCCGAAGAAAAUAAUACAGAGCCUUGGUGAUGAGAACAACUGAAGAAUGGGCCUGGAGAGGAAGCCCUGAAAGCGCCUCACACUGUUUGCAAAGCUGAUGAUGGAUGGUGCACACUUUGGCUCAAGCUAAGCAACUUGGCCCUGACCAGGCAACAGGGUCCCACCUGCUUGUUGGUACAAUUCAGCUGCUUCCAAAAUUAUGCAAGAACUGAAACAUAGGACUCUAUGGGGUUCCCCAAGGAAAACCCUACUCAUGGCCUGAAGUGUUUCUUGGAACUGAAAAUCUAGCAUUUGCCUAUGUGGCUCUGGUUAGACAUGGUCACUUGCCAGUGCUCACCUCUCCAGUUGGCUGGUACCUGAGAGCAUCAUCUUAGUCUUGCCUGGGAGUCUGUGGCAUGCCUUAUCCAUCCACUCAUUUGCUGGAAUGGCUGGUAAGGUUUUAGAGAACACACUAACCUACAGAUGAUGAAACCAAACAAGGACCAUGGAACAGGCAAGGCAUAGUUUCUUUCUUUUUUAUUUUAUUUUUGUUUUUUUUUGUUUUGAAUUAGAA